rnacentral:rRNA from 1 species
UACAGAGGGUGCAAGCGUUGUUCGGAAUUAUUGGGCGUAAAGCGCGUGUAGGCGGUUUCAUAAGUCUGAUGUGAAAGCCCCGGGCUCAACCUGGGAAGUGCAUUGGAUACUGUGAGACUUGAAUACGGGAGAGGGCAGUGGAAUUCCUAGUGUAGGAGUGAAAUCCGUAGAUAUUAGGAGGAACACCGGUGGCGAAGGCGGCUGCCUGGACCGAUAUUGACGCUGAGACGCGAAAGCGUGGGGAGCAAACAGG